UUUAAUUCGCUGAACUUUUAAAAAAAUUAAUAAUUGUUUUCAAAACAAAUGAACUUUUUCUGUAAGUCAUGAACUUUUUCCAAAAUGUUUUCAAAUAAUUUAAAAAUCCAAGCGCUACAGUGAACGUUUACAUGUGUAAUAAAUUGCGUGUCCACGAAUCUACUAUAUCUAAAUAGGAGCACCCCACUAGCUGAUUUCUCUGCGUUCUCAGGCUUCCACGUCAUCCCAAAUUCGUUCAGCCCUUGGAUUGACCACACAUGCCUCAGAUUUGCUGGCAAGAGUUGAUCCCCCCUGCCGCACGCCCUUCCGGUUGGCUCAUCCUUCCUCCGCGCGAGAACUAAAAGCUUCGAGUCUUUCCUCUUCCACUUCCCCAAUUAAUGCGUUGUCCUCUUCUCCUUCCAUCCCCGGCAACGUUUUCAAUUCUUCGAUCUUCCCACCACAAAUACACAUGAAACGGCAUGCAAUCAAUCAUCGAUCUUCAUCACCCGUAGAGGGAUUUUCUUGGUCAUCCCCUUCCGGUGACGGGACGAAUUUGAGCUCUCUCCGCCACCACUGCUCCACCGCGGACACCUGCUCGGGGAAUCAGAAACCUUUAUCUACCUGAGUUGAAUCCCCCACCGUGACCCAUCUCCUUCCGGUACCAUGUGGGGGCUGGACGGGACAGAUCUGCAGGCAUCGCCGCCGCCACCGCGCAGCCUCUGCGGCUGCAUAUUCUUCUUCCCCAUCUCCAGCGACGCGCUCGAACACCUCAUCGAGCACACCACGGGUGGCACUUGCCGUGGAGGUCAACAUGUGUUCGUCAAAUAUGGCGAUCCAAGCCGCCUUCUGCUCGCUCGGCCGCUCAUGCCAUGUUCAAUCUUCUCCGUGCCAUCACCGGCUGCCUGGCGUUGCCGUCUUCUAUAUCCUGAAGAUGCGCCUCCACAAUUUCUUCUCACCGUAGUUCACAUGAGGGUCGGUUUGGUUGAGCUUCGUGAUGGAGAAAGUCUUGAAGCAAUCGAUUGGACUCGGUGCAGGUUCGAUUUCUUCCUGGUCUGUAGCCCAAUUGCUCCGAACCACACGCAAUUUGUGAGGUAAGUUAUACUUUCUAGCUCAAAUAGAAUGCCAAUUUAUAAACUGAUCGAUGAUAUUAUUACACUGACUCAAUGCUUCCGAAGCGAACUAGCGACAUACUGAUUGCCGGCUGGGAAUUUUGCUGAUGCACGCCAUGGAUGCAUCCAUGCGAAACCUGCACGUGCAUGGCCUCAAGCAAAAUCUGGCGGUGCUGCGUGGGCCUUGCUGAAGAGUACAUGGAGAACGUCAGAUAUCUAGAAUUGUGAAGGAAUUAAUUUAUGUUUUCCUAUCUAGAGGAUUUGAAUGCUAUGUAGUUUUUAAUACUUGAUGAAAUUCUGAUUAUACGCAUUGUACUACAUAUCGAAUUAUUCUGCAUUUCAGUGGUAUCUAUACUACUAUUAAACAAUCAAACUAAUUCUUUCUUAACGCCACACGACAGCUGUACACAGUUUGAUUAGCACCGCACGAUUAGGCCCACUAAACUUAAUCUAAUGACUAGCUUUAACUUAAUCUGUUAUCUGAUGUGCACUUAGUAAUUUAGAUUGGCUGAACGUGCUUCACCGCGCGAAGCACCGCCCCGCACGUUGGCAGUCCCUACAAUCACGCAAGGGCAGGAAAAAAAAAGGAAAGCCAUCGCAAUCUGAUCCCCUCACUCGCUAACUGCCCUGCCAGGCCGCGACUCACGCCGUCCGGACGAGGGUCGGACUCCUACGCCACAUGCGCCGCCGCCUGACCCUCCUCCGCCACCACAGCCGCCGCAGAACCGACCAGUGCGCGGCGCCUCUCCCACCGUGACCCGCGAUGCCGGCAGCACCUCCCACCCCCUCCUAUCAUCUCCCUAUCCCUACCCAGCGGACGACCAGAGGAGGAGGAGCUGACGUCUCCCUCCUUCACCUACCCCUACGGUGAGCGGAGACGAUGCCCUCUCGCCAUGCACGCCCUUGAUCCGGACGGCACCGCCGAGCCCGUGGUCCUCCUCCACAGGUCACCGGAUGCAGCCAAGAUCCGUCCAGUCCUCCCACAUCGGCAACCAUGGUAGUCCUCUGCACCCAAGCUUUGCCCAUAAGCUCCAUGUGCAUUGGCAGAUUUCAGCCGGCGAUUUGGAUCGAGCAAGUCACAGGAGCUUGCCUGCAACACCCAGUCUUUGAUCUGGUUUGUUCUUCAUAUCAGACGUUCUGGUGUAUCAAAUCCAUCUGCACUGCAUACAUUGGGAUUGAAACGAUGCCAUGAUAGUUGGCAUUCACGCUUCAGAUUUCUUAACUCAGCAUCAUUGGAUCGAAGAUGGUUAGGAGGUUGAAGGUAUGUCGCGUGAAAGGCGCGGGGAGGCAAGGACGGGACACGCAGGACACUGCAGUGGAGGACGAACACCGCAGCAAGGUAUGUGCAGAGAACAACCACUGUCGCGAAGUCACGACUCCUCUCUUGCAUGUCCGCUUCUCCUUGGUUGCCUGGUCAUCAUCAUAUCACAAAUCAAAGUUUUCUUAUUGCGAACUAGAGAAGAUAAAUUUGAUGGCUGUAAAUUGCCUGAAGUGCAAGGUCUAAUUCUAUUAUGUGUUGAGUUUAUUAGCAAGAUUGGUCCGUUUUGAUACAGUUUCAUUCUGGUUGCCAUCUACGAGUUACUGUUGCAUCACAGUAAUUUAUUUGGAAGCAGUUAUAAUUCAGAUUGAGACUUUCUGGGUAGGUUGUCACAAGUAUUUAACUUAUGAUUUCAGUUUGAGAUACAACCGGCAAUCUGAAAUCAGUACUGCUGCUCAGACAAUCUAGAGGGGAUAUAAAAUUUCUUUGCAAAGCUUGUACACAAGCUUAAGAAUAUGCCUGCUACUUCUUUUUUUAGGGAAAUAAAAUGCCUGCUACUUUGGGAUAUUGUGGUGUUAUUAAAUGACCGCUUCAUAAAUCAUAAUAUGAGAUGGUGUUUGGUCAACCAAACAUGAAGAAUAUUGGAACAAAAAGACGAAGAAUAUUGGUCAACCAAAGGCAAAUUCACUUCAGCCCAAAUUCACUUGAUGUUGCAGUUUUUUCUUAGUUCUUUAAGAUUGGUUUUAGAUGGAGAGCCGGUCCCAGUUUGGAUGCCAAUGUUGGUUUUUAGAUCAGUUAAUGGUUCAUUGCAACACAUGUUCUCCGUAUAAUUUGAUAUGCAAGGUUUUGAUGCAUAGUAAUAGUGAAUUUGGGCUGAAGGGAAGCAAGAGCAGCUAGCAGUAGCAGUUAUAACUGAAGUGAUAAUGGGCACUUCUCUCUUUUCUGAACAACACUUGAUUUUCUCAUAGUAAUAGUCCUUUACUGAAUUUAGUUGAUACAUAAAUGGUUAUUUACUGAACAAUACUUGUAUGUGGGUAGGUACGAUGGUGAUGAAGUUUUAAAAUGGUCCAUUGCCCAACAAGGGCAUCCUAAUUUCUUACUGGAUUAUACUGUAACAAUAUGAUACCGAAAUUUCAAAUGGUUGUAUAUUUGACCCAUACUAUGAUGGGCCAAGGCCUGCGUGGACAUGUUGUUCACAUACUAUAAUUCAUUUACAGGAGAUUGUAAACGUUUAGGCACCAUGUGUUGAGAAAUUGUGCAUUGAGAUAAAAGAUUAUAUAAUUGAUGCAAAGGCAUGUGAUAUAUAUUUGUUUCAGGAAGUGUGUUGAUUCAUGGAGAAUGAUAUUAUAAAUUAUUAGUAUAUUCAUGAAUUAGGUGUUGUGCACUGCAUGAAAUUUCAAUUUUUUUUUGAGAAAUCUAUCCUACAUCUGGUCAUGUUUCAAAUCAUGUGUUUUUGUCCAAACGGUUCAAAUCAUGUGUUUUUGUCCAAACGUGCGUUGCACGUGCAAGCUUACUAGUUAAGCAAAAGGAUACAAUGCCUAGAGUUUGCAUAUUUUCCUGUACAUAGUUUCCCAAUUUCCUCAGAAUCAUGUCUUAAGUAUAUGUUUCCUUAGUUGAUCUGGUGGUCAAAUUUUAACAUGAUCAGAAAAUUGAAGUUAACUAAAUGGAGUACUUGAGUUGUACAGGUUUCUAUCUACAUGGUUCUUUCAUUGUUUGGUGAACCAUCUCCAGGCCGAGAAGCUGGCGUGGUGAUCUUCGCACAGAGCAGCUGUUUUCAUUGAUCCAAGCUUCUACCACAGAUAAUAAAUGUUUAGCAUGCCUUAUCCCCGAAGAGCCGCUGUUAUCAUUAAUAUGUGGUAGAAGCUUGGAUCAAUAAUGUUGAUCUAUGCUAGAAGCUUGGAUCAAUGACAACAGUGGUGAUCUUCGAACAGAGUCGCUGUUGUCACCCGUUUUGAGUUGCUAGGAUCUAAAUGGGUCGUUUAGGUCGUAGCAACAUUACUGGAACCUCUCCAUUUCUGUUCAAAAUUAAAUAUUAAGAUUUAUUAUAACUGAGGUCAUGAGGAUUGCACAUACUUUACUUGCAGAAUAUUAUGUUCUAUUUUGAUUUCAUAGGUUUCAUACAUUUUUCCCUCAACACAAA